GUGGCCGUAGCUCAGCAGGCGAGAGCGCCGGGUUGUGAUCCCGGAGGCCGGGGGUUCGAAACCCCUCGGUCACC
rnacentral:tRNA from 1 species